rnacentral:rRNA from 1 species
CACGUAGGGCGCGAGCGUUGUCCGGAAUUACUGGGCGUAAAGAGCUCGUAGGCGGUCUGUCGCGUCUGCUGUGAAAACUCGGGGCUUAACCCCGGGCCUGCAGUGGGUACGGGCAGACUAGAGUGCGGUAGGGGAGACUGGAAUUCCUGGUGUAGCGGUGAAAUGCGCAGAUAUCAGGAGGAACACCGGUGGCGAAGGCGGGUCUCUGGGCCGUAACUGACGCUGAGGAGCGAAAGCGUGGGGAGCGAACAGG